UACGUAGGUGGCAAGCGUUGUUCGGAAUUAUUGGGCGUAAAGGGCGCGUAGGCGGUUUGUCACGUCGGCCGUGAAAACCUGCAGCUUAACUGUGGGCGUGCGGUCGAUACGGGCAUCACUGGAGUUCGGCAGGGGAGACUGGAAUUCCUGGUGUAGCGGUGAAAUGCGCAGAUAUCAGGAGGAACACCGGUGGCGAAGGCGGGUCUCUGGGCCGAUACUGACGCUGAGGAGCGAAAGCGUGGGGAGCAAACAGG
rnacentral:rRNA from 1 species